rnacentral:rRNA from 1 species
UACGUAGGGUGCAAGCGUUGUCCGGAAUUAUUGGGCGUAAAGAGCUCGUAGGCGGUUUGUCGCGUCUGCUGUGAAAACUCAGGGCUUAACUCUGAGCUUGCAGUGGGUACGGGCAGACUAGAGUGCGGUAGGGGAGACUGGAAUUCCUGGUGUAGCGGUGAAAUGCGCAGAUAUCAGGAGGAACACCGGUGGCGAAGGCGGUUCUCUGGGCAUUACCUGACGCUGAGGAGCGAAAGUGUGGGGAGCGAACAGG